GUCCUGGCUGUAAACGGUGCACGUUUGCUGUAAAAGGAAUCGACCCCUUUUGUGGCGAAGCUAACGCGAUAAACGUGCCGCCUGGUGAGUACGGUCGCAAGAUUAAAACUCAAAGAAAUUGACGGGGGCCUGCACAAGCGGUGGAGUAUGUGGCUUAAUUCGAUGCAACGCGAAGAACCUUACCUGGCCUUGACAUGCACGUAGUAGGAGCCUGAAAGGGUAACGACCCCGCAAGGGGAGCGUGCACAGGUGCUGCAUGGCUGUCGU
rnacentral:rRNA from 1 species